rnacentral:rRNA from 1 species
AUGAACGCUGGCGGCGUGCCUAAUACUUGCAAGUCGAGCGAACAGAUGAGGAGCUUGCUCCUCUGACGUUAGCGGCGGACGGGUGAGUAACACGUGGAUAACCUACCUAUAAGACUGGGAUAACUUCGGGAAACCGGAGCUAAUACCGGAUAAUAUAUUGAACCGCAUGGUUCAAUAGUGAAAGACGGUUUUGCUGUCACUUAUAGAUGGAUCCGCGCCGCAUUAGCUAGUUGGUAAGGUAACGGCUUACCAAGGCAACGAUGCGUAGCCGACCUGAGAGGGUGAUCGGCCACACUGGAACUGAGACACGGUCCAGACUCCUACGGGAGGCAGCAGUAGGGAAUCUUCCGCAAUGGGCGAAAGCCUGACGGAGCAACGCCGCGUGAGUGAUGAAGGUCUUCGGAUCGUAAAACUCUGUUAUUAGGGAAGAACAAAUGUGUAAGUAACUAUGCACGUCUUGACGGUACCUAAUCAGAAAGCCACGGCUAACUACGUG